CGUUCUUAUACAAUUCACCACAUUAAUUCUCUCAAAUACUGAUCCUUGGCAGCUGAAAUUCCUACUCUUUCAAAAUUUUGUUUCCUGCUAAAUCUUCAAGCGUUAAAUUCAGUGUAUCUACAGAACCUUUUUUCACUUCCUCCCCACGAGCAGCCAGGAAGUCCUCAAUGCUUCCUGGUUCUCCAAACCACCCAAGGCGAUCGGCAAUCAGAUGUAAGUUAUUACAGCCACCACAACGUGCCACCACCACACCUUUCUCAUAUGAUUCGCGACAAACUGUCUUGACUGAUCUUGUCUCGCAUACCUUACAGGUAAAUAUCAUUGCAAGAUCAUGCCUUGGUGAUGUUCUCAAGUUUGAUACAGUGGAGCACUCGACAGCAGAAUUAUCGCUACUGUUUGUUUGGGAAGGAGCAGUUGCUGAGUCAUGAAUGGGCUUGAGACAACCAGUUUCAUCGUUUUCUGAAUCCUCAUUAAGCUGACUAGCUGGAUUUGUUUGCGUCUGAAACCUUCUAUAAAAAUCAUCUCUAGUGAAUAUUGAUCUUGCAGAAGGAAGAAGUUGCCAGGCUGGUUCUCCAUUAAUGGGAAAGAUGCGGGGAUGAUUGCGAUUAUGUACAAGGAAAGAGACCACUCGCCUCAUCUGCAAGAUGUUUCUAGCAGCCGCCAUGAAGGGUUGCUGUCCGAGAUUGCAAGUUCCUGGUUCUGGUACCG
rnacentral:misc_RNA from 1 species